GGACUACAGGGGUUUCUAAUCCUGUUUGCUCCCCUUGCUCUCGCGCCUCAGCGUCAGGUAUAAACUAGAAAGCCGCUUUCGCCACAGGUGUUCUUCCACAUAUCUACGCAUUUCACCGCUACACGUGGAAUUCCGCUUUCUCCGUCAAUCCUCUGGAAUUGCAGUUUCAAAUGCAGCUCCAAAGUUGAGCUUUGGAAUUUCACAUCUGACUUACCUUCCCGCCUACGCGCCCUUUACGCCCAAUAAUUCCGAUUAAUGCUUGCACUCUCCGUAUUACCGCGGCGGCUGGCAC
rnacentral:rRNA from 1 species